ensembl:snRNA U1 U1 spliceosomal RNA
AUACUUACCUGGCAGGGGAGAUACCAUGAUCACUAAAGUGGUUUUCCCAUGGCGAGACCUAUCCAUUGCACUCCAGAUGUGCUGGCCCCUGAAAUUUCCCCAAAUGUGGGAAACUCAACUGCAUGAUUUGUAGUAGUAGGGUAUUGUGUUCAUGCUCUCCCCUG